GACGAACGCUGGCGGCGUGCUUAACACAUGCAAGUCGAACGGAAAGGCCCUGCUUGCAGGGUACUCGAGUGGCGAACGGGUGAGUAACACGUGGGUGAUCUGCCCUGCACUUCGGGAUAAGCUUGGGAAACUGGGUCUAAUACCGGAUAGGAGCCAUCUUUAGUGUGGUGGUUGGAAAGUUUUUUCGGUGUAGGAUGAGCUCGCGGCCUAUCAGCUUGUUGGUGGGGUAAUGGCCUACCAAGGCGGCGACGGGUAGCCGGCCUGAGAGGGUGUACGGCCACAUUGGGACUGAGAUACGGCCCAGACUCCUACGGGAGGCAGCAGUGGGGAAUAUUGCACAAUGGGCGCAAGCCUGAUGCAGCGACGCCGCGUGGGGGAUGAAGGCCUUCGGGUUGUAAACUCCUUUCACUAGGGACGAAGCUUUUUGUGACGGUACCUAGAUAAGAAGCACCGGCUAACUACGUG
rnacentral:rRNA from 1 species